rnacentral:tRNA from 1 species
GGGGUUGUAGCUCAGUGGUAGAGCGCUUGCCUUGCAUGCAUGAGGCACUGGGUUUGAUCCUCAGCACCA